UAUAUUAUUAAAGCAAAAUCUUUUACUAGCCACUAGUUGUACCUUCUUAGUCUACAGAUUCCUUAUAGGUACUUUGUUUUAUAGCAGUUAACAGUCUGUGACUGCAGGGUGAUUCAAAAAGAAUAACACAACUUUGAAAAUCUGUAUUUAAUCAAAGAAACAUGAUGACAACAGCUCUCCUAGCGACCUAAUGAGUAACCAAAUGAAACUUCAGAGCUUCCUUAAAUCGACGACAGAAAGAGCUUAGCUCCCCUUUUCUUCUUUGCAGAGUUUUCGAUUUUCAAAUUUGUGGGAUUCCUUUUGAAUCACCCUGUAUACAGUUUUUUCUGUUUUUAACAUCUGAUGUUUCCUGAUAGGUAAUCGUUUACAUCACUUUGGGAGAGGGAGUGAAAACGGGCAGUCAAUCAGUGUCUGAAAAGAGAAAAUACACCCAAUACAGAGGCUAGUAAGGAGCACUUCCAGUGCACAAAGUUAAUGUCUUAACAGAUUACAAGAUCAAGUCAUUAACAUGAACCAAAAGGACAAACUCGUCAAAAGCAAAACUCACUUUCCCUUGGCUUUUCUUUCCCUUUUCAUCACGGGUCAUCACAGCAGAAUGAACUAGCAAUUACUGUGGUACAUGCUUUUUUCACCAGAUGCUCUCAUAUGCAGAAUUGACCAGAGCACCGGAAGGAAACCCACGCAAACAUGGGGUGAACAUGCAAACUCCACACCUGGCACACCUGAGACUCGAACCAGUGACCUUCUUGCUUUGAGGCAACAGUGAUGACCACGGAGCUACCAUGUGGCCCCUUUUGUAUUCACAUUAUAUUAGUGACAGUUUUCCCCUCAAGGUAUUUCAGUAAAUAAUUGUUGUGAUUUUAUAUAAUUGACAAUAAAUUGUUUGUAUUUAUA